rnacentral:rRNA from 1 species
CACGCUGUAAACGAUGCUAACUCGUUUUUGGGCUUUCGGGCUCAGAGACCAAGCGAAAGUGAUAAGUUAGCCACCUGGGGAGUACGUUCGCAAGAAUGAAACUCAAAGGAAUUGACGGGGGCCCGCACAAGCGGUGGAUUAUGUGGUUUAAUUCGAUGAUACGCGAGGAACCUUACCAAGACUUAAAUGGGAAUUGACAGAUUUAGAAAUAGAUCCUCCUUCGGGCAAUUUUCAAGGUGC